CCCUUAGAUGUUCUGGGCUGCACGCGCGCUACACUGAAGCGUUCAACGAGUAUUCACCUUGCCCGGGAGGGUUGGGUAAUCUUUUGAAAACGCUUCGUGAUGGGGAUAGAUUAUUGCAAUUAUUAAUCUUCAACGAGGAAUUCCUAGUAAACGCAAGUCAUCAGCUUGCAUUGAUUACGUCCCUGCCCUUUGUACACACCGCCCGUCGCACCUACCGAUUGAAUGGUCCGGUGAAGCGUUCGGACCGUGGCCUUUGGACGGUUCGCCGUCUGUUGGCUGCGGGAAGUUCGUUAAACCUUAUCAUUUAGAGGAAGGAGAAGUCGUAACA
rnacentral:rRNA from 1 species